UACGGAGGGUGCGAGCGUUAAUCGGAAUUACUGGGCGUAAAGCGUACGCAGGCGGUUUGUUAAGCCAGAUGUGAAAUCCCCGGGCUCAACCUGGGAAUUGCAUUUGGAACUGGUUAACUAGAGUUUUGUAGAGGGUGGUAGAAUUUCAGGUGUAGCGGUGAAAUGCGUAGAGAUCUGAAGGAAUACCAGUGGCGAAGGCGGCCACCUGGACAAAAACUGACGCUGAGGUGCGAAAGCGUGGGGAGCAAACAGG
rnacentral:rRNA from 1 species